UCUGGUGCCCACAUGUUGUUGGUCUAACUCUGAUGCAGCUUUGAACACAUCAGACUCUUUAAGUGUAAUUCAGCUCUCUAGCGCCAUCUGUGGGUUGGCUUGCACAGUACAGUUUAACCAACAAGACAACAACACCGUCAUCAGGCUCAUCAAACAGAUUCUGGCAUGUGUGUGUCAACUUCCUCCUCUGGGCACAAGUGAUGUCCUCGUUCUGUCCUGUUUCUAUUUUCCCUUACUGAGUGUGUCCCUUGUGGGAAAGCCAUCUGACAAUUCCAUCAUGAAUGUUCCUACUGGGAAAAAUCUCAGAUUCCUACCAAAAAAGGUA